AGUUGAAUCUGAACUGUCGUGUGGUCAAGAUCAAAGUAAUUUGUUAACCAAUUUAGCCUGAAUCCUGUGGAAUAUAAUUUUCAGAAUGAAGGUUGCCGUGCUCCUUCUAAUAACCGCCAUUUUCGCCAUGGGUGCGCACGGUCGAGGCCCUCUUUCAAGAUAUCUCUUUCAAAGGUUGCGACAUUUGUGCGAAUUAGAUGGCGGAAAUUCUACUACCACGUGUGGAGCUGAUACGCGGGUUGUGGACUGUGAGGACGGGGGAAUGCUUUUUGGAGAUAUGUGCAUAGAACUUAACUGCAUCGAUUCUCGUAGUUUGUGUGGUAGAGAGCCAUGUAACUCACCUGUUGCCCGUUGUCAUUGUGAGAGACCUGUUGGGAAAUAAAGUUUGAGACUUGUUCACGUUAGUAUGAAG